rnacentral:rRNA from 1 species
GACGAACGCUGGCGGCGUGCUUAACACAUGCAAGUCGAACGAUGAACCCGGAGCUUGCUCCGGUGGAUUAGUGGCGAACGGGUGAGUAACACGUGAGUAACCUGCCCUUGACUCUGGGAUAACUGCGGGAAACUGUGGCUAAUACCGGAUACGACCCCCGGAGGCAUCUCCUGGGGGUGGAAAGAAUUUAGGUCAAGGAUGGACUCGCGGCCUAUCAGCUACUUGGGGAGGUAAAGGCUCCCCAAGGCGACGACGUGUAGCCGGCCUGAGAGGGUGACCGGGCACACUGGGAGUGAGACACUGCCCAGACUACUCCUGGAGACAGCAGUGAGGAGUCAUGCACAAUGGUCGCGAGCCUAAUGCAGCAACGGCGCGUGAGGGAAAACGGCCUUCGGGUUGUAAGCCUCAUUUAGCAGGGAGGAAGCGAAAGUGACGGUACCUGCAGAAAAAGCACCGGCUAACUACCUGCCGGACGCCGCCGUAA